AAGGAAGAAGUGGCUUCCUCUGACUGACAACAUUUACGCUAUUGAUCGGCAACGCCGGGCAAGUUGCGGGGAGCCGAUCGUCGGGAGAUCGCCCCUCGGCCUCAUUUCUUCCGCUCUGGAAGGAACAUAGAAAUCGCCAUGGGGAAUCAAGUUCGAAAACAGGAUCAAAUUACUGAGAAGGCAAAGAAUACUAAUGAAAAUGCUGAGGAAGCUGAACAUAAGGAUAGCUCCAAAGCAAUCCCGUUAACCCAGGAGCCUUCAGAAGACAAUGAAGUUUUUGGAGAGGCAGAUGUGAACCAGAAC